CACGCAAAUCAGACUCCUCAAAUGCAUGUUUCGUUUCGAGAUUAGGUUAUUGUAGUGAAAAAUAUUGGAUUUAAAAACUAUGGACAAAUUAAAAGCAAUAACUGCCAAAAAUUUUAUAGCCUUCAAAAGUAAAUACUCCAUACUGUUUGAAAUAUAUCGGGAUAUUUAAAAUCCUUGGGAACAUCAAUAUCAUUAAUUUCAGAAAAUUAAUCGAAACAUUGCAUUGAUUUACGAUACUAUCGCCGAAAAUUUAGCGUAUCAAAAAGUGAUUAUCUAAAUGCAUGACUCAAAUAUUACGUGUAAUUUUUUGUAGAAAAGAAAAUUUUGUUCUUUUUUAACUUUUAAGGAGAAAAAUUUUUCUGUAAGAACUCUGUAACGUUCUGCGACAAGUCGCUGCCAUUCAACCAUGGGGUUUUAUAUUAUAUAUAAAUGCAGUACUAUUUUUAUAUGGUGACUGCAGAAUGUAAAACUAUAUGAGGAAAGUAACUUUAAUUAUGAUAGAGGGUGACGGUUAUGUGUAAAUCAUUAUGCUUAUGGGCAGUUUCAAAGGGUGAAUAAAUAUUUAAAAUGUUAAAACAAUCUAAAAAGGUGUGUUUAUUGAGAUGAGCUAACAAAAUUAAUUCAGAAAAAUAUGUCUUAGAUGUACCAGUUGUUGUUUUGCAUUAAUUUUGCACAGUUUAUUUGAUAUUAAUUGGAUUUUGUUUGUUUUUUCUCUUAACACAGGCUACAAGAUGCUGGUUCCAGUGACACCACUUCCAAAUCCUUGAUUCUUGCACCUGAACUUAAGAAGCUGGUUGAACCUGAGAAAAUAUUGAGUACUUUUUUAAAUAAAAUAGAGAAACCUUCAAUGGCAUUGGUGGUGUGGCAACCUCCUAACAACAAACUGACAGA